rnacentral:rRNA from 1 species
GUGGGGAAUCUUGCGCAAUGGGCGAAAGCCUGACACAGCCAUGCCGCGUGAAUGAUGAAGGUCUUAGGAUUGUAAAAUUCUUUCACCGGGGACGAUAAUGACGGUACCCGGAGAAGAAGCUCCGGCUAAAUUCGUGCCAGCAGCCGCGGUAAUACGAAGGGGGCUAGCGUUGCUCGGAAUUACUGGGCGUAAAGGGCGCGUAGGCGGACAGCUUAGUCAGAGGUGAAAGCCCAGGGCUCAACCUUGGAAUUGCCUUUGAUACUGGCUGUCUUGAGUUUGGGAGAGGUGAGUGGAACUCCGAGUGUAGAGGUGAAAUUCGUGGAUAUUCGGAAGAACACCAGUGGCGAAGGCGACUCACUGGCCCAAUACUGACGCUGAGGCGCGAAAGCGUGGGGAGCAAACAGGAUUAGAUACCCUUGUAGUCC